GGGGAAAUGGCCACGGGGACAGACCAGGUGGUGGGACUCGGCCUCGUCGCCGUUAGCCUGAUCAUCUUCACCUACUACACCGCCUGGGUGAUUCUCUUGGUAUGUCAUUCUCCCCGUCCGCUUCUCACCUUCCCCGAGCCCUGGCACCGCCCGAGCAACUACUAUAUAGGCUCUAGGCACGGCGCUGGCUUCAUUGCCUGCCUCAUCUCUUGAAAUCUCCAGAACAACUCUAUGAGGAAGAUGCCAGUGGUACCGCAUUUUAUAGAUGAGAUAGCUGAGGCUAGGGGAGAAGGAUCUAGCCCAAGAUUGCAUCCUUAGCCGCUACACUUAAAACUCUGUUUCCAGCUUGCUUUGACUUUUGGGGGAGUUCUGUUCCUUCUGGGUUAGCCUGCUGACUUUAGGCAUGGCGAGCGCCAGUGAUAUUUGUGAAGGCCUUUAGGAUAUUUUUUUCUUGUGGGAAAACUUGUUGGUUAUUGCCUAAGAAGUGCAGUGUGUCUGAAAGUGCAGAACUUGGUAUCCUUUAGAGAAAAAAUAUUAGUGAAGAAGCCCUGGAGACCCAGGUUGGGAGUCAGUUGAGGAUUCCUCAUGUACCAUUUGCUAGGCUGUGAGGUGCCUUAGGGCAGGUCUCUUGUGCCCUGUUCUCUUGUCCCCACCACCAACCUAUGGCAGGCACCAAAGCAAGUGCCCGGUAAAUACCAAUAAGAAAUUAAGGAAGGAAACAAACCACGACACCCAAAUGCCAUAAUCUUAAAGAAAAGCAAAUGCAGUCCCAAUGCUCUGAAUGGGUCAGCCCCUUAGAUGGAGGAGGUGGGACGUUUGGGCUUGGGGGCUGGGCAAGGCAAGCAAGGCUCACCAGAGCUCUGCCCUCGACGCCAGCCAUUCAUCGACAGUCAGCAUGUCAUCCACAAGUAUUUCCUGCCCCGAGCCUAUGCUGUCGCCAUCCCACUGGCUGCAGGCCUCCUGCUGCUCCUGUUUGUGGGACUGUUCAUCUCCUACGUGAUGCUGAAGAGCAAGAGAGUGCCCAAGAAGGCUCAGUGAAGGUCCCGCGGGGAUGAGGCUGCCAGCCCCUUCUCUGCUUCCCCUCCAGCACAGGGACCAAGUUGGGGAGCCUGCAGAACCUGUCCAGGCACAGUGGCUCCUCAAGCCUGCCUGUCCUGCAGAGUCCCCAUGGCAUGGAGUUUACCCCUGACUGACUGGAGCCCCCUCCCCGACUCCCACUUCCAGAAGCUAGGAGGGAGGGAUACCUGGAAGACUCCGGUCACCCCCUUCUUGCUCAGGGCCUAAAAGUUGCUGGUCCUCCCAACCUCACUCUCAGACUCCCUGCCACCUUUUUCCCUGGGUUCUGCCAUCUUGCCUCACUUCCCCUCCUGUCACUUGCUGACGUUGGACUUAGCAGGUUCCAAGGCCGCAUGUGUGACCUCUCUGACCUCUCUCCACAAAUCCUGCUCCUCCACCAAGGCAGCUUUCCUUAGCCUGACACAGCUCCAGACCCCACAAAGCCUUCUGGACCUGGAAAGCCUGGAGAAGGACUGACAGACCCCAGGACCAGCCCUGGGGCUCAGGGCAGCCACCCUGGGCCGCUGACCGACCGACUGCUCCUCAUGGAGGCCCAGCCCCAAAGCCCCAGGGCUGGCCUGUUUGGGACAGCUGACCAAUAAACACUGAUUGUGUGUU
rnacentral:sRNA from 1 species